rnacentral:sRNA from 1 species
AGCGCGGAGCCGGCCGCGGCCCCCUGUUGUGUUGCUGCGGAGAGGCGCAGUCAUGCAGGAAAACCUCAGAUUUGCUUCAUCAGGAGAUGAUAUUAAAAUAUGGGAUGCUUCAUCUAUGACAUUGGUGGAUAAAUUCAACCCACACACAUCACCACAUGGAAUCAGCUCAAUAUGUUGGAGCAGCAAUAAUAACUUUUUAGUAACAGCAUCUUCCAGUGGCGACAAAAUAGUUAUCUCAAGUUGCAAAUGUAAACCUGUUCCACUUUUAGAGCUUGCUGAAGGGCAAAAGCAGACAUGUGUCAAUUUAAAUUCUACAUCUAUGUAUUUGGUAAGCGGAGGCCUAAAUAACACUGUUAAUAUUUGGGAUUUAAAAUCAAAAAGAGUUCAUCGAUCUCUUAAGGAUCAUAAAGAUCAAGUAACUUGUGUAACAUACAAUUGGAAUGAUUGCUACAUUGCUUCUGGAUCUCUUAGUGGUGAAAUUAUUUUGCACAGUGUAACCACUAAUUUAUCUAGUACUCCUUUUGGCCAUGGUAGUAACCAGGCUCUCCAAUCCAGUGUUGAAUAGAAGUGAUGAUAGUGGACAUCUUUAUUUUGUCCCCAAAUU